GCCGAGCUUAGGGGCGGGGCCACACGUGUCAGCGCUCGGGGGCGGUGGCGGCGGCACCGGAAGUCCGCCCACCGGAAGCACGUCCUCGCGGACCAGGACUUUCGCCGCGUCAGUCUCCGUGUGACGAAAUAAAUCUACCUGGGAGUCACUCACUGAGCAACGUCUCUGAAUUGACAAGCUCUCCUGCUAACAGCCAGCAUUCCCUCUCACCUGCUCACCUCACAGGCUGCUCUGCACCUGUUACUUCGCUGAUUCCUUGUGGAAACGCAGGAGACCUACGUGGAAUUCGCUGGGAAGAGCUGGCUUUGAGGGUUAUUUGUGGCCGAAGUCUUCCCAGAUCCCUUCCCAGCAGCUUCACCGAGCACAACUUGUCUCAGAAGAGCAGAGCUGGGCACAUCUGCCAGGGUCUAAGGUCCCGGCACACUCCUGGCCGGGUCGCAGAUUCCCACGCUGCAUCUGUCUGGCCGGAGAACAAGCAUCAGCUGUCUGGUGUUAUGGACCUCCUCGGGAUCCACAAAGGCCGAGGAACGCGUCUGAAUGUGGAGAUCUCUUGGAAGCAAACGGCCUGAGUGGCCUCCAGAGACUUGUUUCCUUAGCAACAGCGCCCGAGUAUGAGGCCCCGAACAAUUUGUUGUUAUCCAUUCCCUCCUCAAAAAUAUAGUUGCCUAGCAGAUUGCAGCAGACCUCGGCCCAGGCUUGGACUGAACCCUGCCCCUCAACUCAGUCUCUCAGGAUAUGAAACAGCAGGGUCGUAUCAGGUUUAGUGCUACAGGUUUAGAAAUAAUUUUUGUUUCUUUUUGUUUUGUUUUUUUGGUACCGGGGAUUGAACUCGGGUCCUUGCGCCUGCACAGCAGGCAGCGAAACCACUGAGCUAAAUCCCCGGCCCUAAUUUUUGUUUCUAAAGCAACAUAAUUUGACCUCAAGCUUUGUGGGGCUACAGAAAACACCACUGAAUUCAUGUUGUUUACCUAAAACAAGAUAAAAAGCUGAACAAACAAAAACUCUAGAGGUUGUGCAUUCCACAGAUUUUCUUAACCAGUGACAAUUAAGGAAAACAUCUGUCCAGUCCCCUCUUGGAGCUUCAUAGGAAGAAUUCUGAGCAUGUGGAAGAGGUCACGUUCACAAGUGCAGCCUCCACCUAUAGCACAGGACGGAACUCUGUCCCGCUGCUGAGGAUACGGAGAAGGCAUUUACUCUUCCUGAUGUGGUUGCUUCCAGCAGACUGUAGGAAAGGAAGUUUCUUUGCCACUGCCUGGUGGCACGUCAUUGGUCCGCUGAAUGUAGAGAUGGACAGAAGGCCAAUCAGAAGAAGCCACACAACCUGGACAAGCAGGCUUCUGAGAACGCCUGUGUUAUGGUUUGGGUCUAGAUGUCCCCUCAAAGCCUCAUGUGGCCAUAGGCUUGAUCUAGAGUGUGUGAAGCUGAAAUUGAUUCAUGAUGCAAUCCUAGGCUGAAGGGCACUAGGAUCAAGAGUGUGAGUGCUACCCGCCCUCAGUAGUCUGAAUAAAAGGGGCAGGAAAAUGCUGUUAACUCUCUUGUUAUCAUUUCUGCCUUGUGUGUGCCAUGUUGCUUCUGCUCUGCCAUGCCUUGUUUGUCGUCCCUGCCUUGGAAUCGGCUGAUUGUAGACUGAAACCUCUAUGAACUGUAAGCUAAAUAAACCCUUUCCCCUUUAACUUUGAGUGUCUGGUAUUUUGUCUCAGCAGUGAGAGAAAAGUAACUAACACACCCUGGAACAGAGGCAUUACAGACUUUCCCUGAAGUCUCACUGUACAAAGUUAUUUCUGGGGCACAAGGUUAUAAAUAAAAGUCAACAGCCCUGCAUGGAAGCUGAGCAAGGAGGAUUGCUACGAGCUCGAGGCCAGCCUGGGCUACAUAGUGAGGUCUAGGCCAGCCUGAACUGCAUACUAGUGAGGCCCUUUCACCCCCCACCCCCCAAAGAAAUAAAAGUCACGUCUAAAUGACAGAGAUGACUGCAAUGGUCUUCUCUUUAUAUCUGUUCUUUAAUUUUGGUAAAUUUCUUCCGUGUAGAGUAUGUUUUGGAAGAGGUCUUCCUUUCCUCCCAUCUUUGGUACAGAUCACCGCUGACAACUGAUAAAAAUUAUGGCUUUUCAUUCAAAAUAUACCCUUGUAGAAAAACCUUAUGCAUAUCUUAUUUGGUCUGUGAUGUGUCUUUUCCAUUCUCACUGAAGCUGCCCUAGUUUUAUUGGAAAAAAAUUUUCUUUACCUACCUAGAAUCACUCCAUUUUUGUGUGUGAGGGGAGUACUUUGUGUAUGAACCAGGGACAUUUUAAAAACAAAAGUUAUUCUAGGUAUUUUCAAGAUUUUCCUGCUGUAUCGCAAUCAUUUUCAUCUGUCUUGCCAUAUCCUGUUGACUUCAAGUGCGUGUAUUUAUAAAGCUCUUUCAGAGGACGAAUGUGUGAGGUAAUUUGAGAAUAGCCAUCAUGUUCAGAAUCUAUUUCAGAAAAUUAGCAUUUACAGAAGUGUGGGACUCAAGUACAGGGACACCUUUGACACUAAUCCAGGCUGCAAAAGAAAGUGUCAAAUUCCUGGGCUCCUUGGCUAUGGCUGACAUUUUCGCAAUUACUUAUGAUAACAAGGCUGUGAUUUUUACACUGAGCAGAGCUCCGAGUUUAAGAGUUGAUUUUCUAACAGAGCUGAUAGACCUGUUCUUCUCUUAAGUUGCUCUUGUGACAUUCACAGGACAGAGGCAGGACUGAGCAUGAAGCAAGUGAAGCUGACAGCACUAAGAGGGGACUGAAGCCCUGACCCUGGGCUCAUGAGCUCCAUUCUUAAGACAGGGCAGCCGGACAGGCCGCUAAUUAGUGACUCAUUUGGCAGCAGAGGCUGGACUCGUGCGCUGAUCCAGUCCAGAGCCAGCAUCCGCCAGAUGCCAAGUGGCCGCUGUCAGAACCCAAGGGCACGAGGCUGCAGUGUCACUCACAAUCACCAGAAAAUACAGCUUUUAAUCUACAGUAAAGUCUAUUUGCCACCUUCAUUGUUUUAAUGUUUAAAAUCUUGAACAUUUAAAGUUUUAUCAUAGUGUAUGUCUUCUGCAGUAUUUUUGGUUUAUCAUUAGGUUUAGAUUUGGUCAUGUUUUGUGCAGUGGAAUUGAUUCAUUGCUACUUUGAUUCCAUUUUAGGAGUGGAAUACAAUUUAUCAUCUCCAUUUCAGAUACUCAUUUCCAGGUGUGGUGGUUAAUUGAUUGUCAGCGUGAGUGGGGACGCCCAGCUGAAUUGAGUCAGCAUGGUUCUGGGCGUGGAAGACCCACUUUAAGGAGAAUUGUUAUCAGAAUGGUAAGAAAGAACAGGAGGGAAAAAGUCAGCUAAUUUUCCUUGAAAGAGCUUCACUGUGACUGAUUUCCCUCAGAGGAGCUCAGGUCUUUGCCUUUGUCUUGGGCACUGUCUCCUGGCUUUGGGGGCAGAUUCUUUGGCUUCCAGCACCAGCCUUUUGGCUGCCAGCCCAGCCCCCAGCCCCCACCCUUCAACUUGUUGGCGCAGAACCCUUGGUCUUUUGCUGCAGAUUCUUUGGCCUCUGAUUCGGACUCCUACCUCCUACGGGACAUUGCCAGGCCUCUGGCUGGAUCCUCCGGGUCUCUAACAUGCACACAGAUCUUUUGCACUCUUCUACAUUUGACUGUGGGUGGGCACUGGAGGCCAAUCUUGCCCCAGCCCUGCAAGCUCUUGUGAGCACUAGUACACCACGUUCUCGCUGUUCUAUGCCAUGGGCUCUUCUAAUUCUUGUACUUGGCUCCCAGUGAGCAUGGGGGUUUCUCCAGGGUUAGGGAUCCACCUGAGUGGUGGGAUUGUGGGACCACAGGGUAGUUUACCAGAUGAUGCCAAAGUGUUUCCCACAGUGUUCUGUUCCAAUUUAGAGUCCCACCAGCAAAUAAAAAAAUUCCCAUUUUCUACAAUAUUGGUAAAGUUGAACAGAUAGGUUUACAGACAUUUUGAGCUUUUUUUGUGAAAUGCCAACUUUAGGGUCUUGUCCACUUUUCUUUUGAUCUGUGUGCGCGUUUUUAUGCUCUGGAUACUAAUCCUCUGUCAGUUGUGUUGCAAGUAUCUCAAUUUUGAUUAGCCUUUCACCCUCUACUGUUUUUAUAAUUCUCAUUUCAACAUAAUCAGUUUCUACUUUUGUCUUAAUACACAAAAUCUUUCCCCAGUGUCUAUAAAAAUGCUCAGUUAUGUUUAAAGUUUUACAGUUUUGCUGUUCACAUUUCAGUCUUUAAUCCACUUGGACUUGAUUUGGACUACUACAUACUGUUACAAGGGAGUGGUCCAGAUUCUUGUUUCAUAGACAUAACCAGCCGUUCACUGGGAAAUCCUGUUUCGGGGAGAAACCAGUGUGUGUAGAUGGUAUCUGCAUUUCUGGAGCCUCUUUGGACUCUGGCUGUUUCUCUCUGUUCCAACAUUGUGCUUUCAAAGUGGUUUUAUUCAAUUUGUAUUUAUUUGAUAAGGUGGGUCCUCUCACCUGUUGUUCUUUAGGAAUGUUUUCGGUCUUGUUUUUCCUGAACAUUCUAAGAGCUAAUCGAAUUUAUAAUUAGGACAGAAACAAGGUUGUUUAUAGAUAUUUUGAUUAGCAAACCUGAGAGUUAAUGUGUUCUGUUGAAUUUUAC
rnacentral:lncRNA from 1 species